CCUGGUUAUUGGAGCGACUUGGAACCACCCUUCUCCAUUCCGAACAAGGAAGUGAAACGAGUCAGCGCCGAUGAUACUCUUGCCUUCGGGUAAAGGGAAAGUAGGUCAUAGCCAGGG
rnacentral:rRNA from 6 species